UGAAUACGAGAUGCUACGGCAUUGAAGUAGUGUAUGUCAGACUUCCAAGAAAAGCUCGCAAUGUCAUAAAUAAAUAAUGCCUGUACCAUAACCGACACAGGUGGGUAGGUAGAGUAUACUAAGGGGCGCGAGAUAACUCUCUCUAAGGAACUCGGCAAAAUGACUCCGUAACUUCGGGAGAAGGAGUGCCUCAUUUAUGAGGUCGCAAUAACAAGAUCCAAGCAACUGUUUACCAAAAACACAGGUCUCCGCUAAGUCGUAAGACGAUGUAUGGGGGCUGACGCCUGCCCAGUGCCAGAAGGUUAAAGAAGUUGGUUAGCAUCCGCGAAGCUGAUAACUGAAGCCCUGGUGAACGGCGGCCGUAACUAUAACGGUCCUAAGGUAGCGAAAUUCCUUGUCGGGUAAGUUCCGACCCGCACGAAAGGCGUAAUGAUUUGGAUUCUGUCUCAGAGAGGGACUCGGUGAAAUAGACUUGUCUGUGAAGAUGCGGACUACCUGCACCAGGACAGAAAGACCCUAUGAAGCUUUACUGUAACUUGAAAUUGAAAUUGGACUUUAGUUGCGCAGUAUAGGUGGGAGGCGUUGAGUUUAUUCUUGCGGGAAUUUAGGAGCCAUCAGUGAGAUACCACUCUGCUAAUGUUAGAUUUCUAACUUUGCAUCAUAAUCUGGUCAAAGAACAGUUUCAGGCGGGCAGUUUGACUGGGGCGGUCGCCUCCUAAAUGGUAACGGAGGCGUACAAAGGUUUCCUCUGAACGUGUAGAAAUCGUAUCUAGAGUAUAAAGGCAUAAGGAAGCUUGACUGUGAGACUUACAAGUCGAGCAGGGACGAAAGUCGGUCUUAGUGAUCUGACGGUGCUGAGUGGAAAGGCCGUCACUCAACGGAUAAAAGUUACUCUAGGAUAACAGGCUGAUCUCCCCCAAGAGUUCACAUCGACGGGGAGGUUUGGCACCUCGAUGUCGGCUCAUCGCAUCCUGGGGCGGUAGUACGUCCCAAGGGUUGGGCUGUUUGCCCAUGAAAGCGGUACGCGAGCUGGGUUCAGAACGUCGUGAGACAGUUCGGUCCAUAUCCGGUGUAGGCGUUAGAAUAUUGAGAGGAGCCUUCUUUAGUACGAGAGGACCGAGAAGGACAUACCUCUGGUGUACCAGUUAUCGUGCCAACGGUAAACGCUGGGUAGCUAUGUAUGGAGUGGAUAACCGCUGAAAGCAUCUAAGUGGGAAGCCCACCUCAAGAUAAGUAUUCUCU
rnacentral:rRNA from 1 species